rnacentral:rRNA from 1 species
CCUACGGGUGGCAGCAGUGGGGAAUAUUGCACAAUGGGGGAAACCCUGAUGCAGCGACGCCGCGUGAGUGAAGAAGUAUUUCGGUAUGUAAAGCUCUAUCAGUAGGGAAGAAAAUGACGGUACCUGAUGAAGAAGCACCGGCUAACUACGUGCCAGCAGCCGCGGUAAUACGUAGGGGGCAAGCGUUACUCGGAUUUACUGGGUGUAAAGGGAGCGUAGGCGGCAGCGCAAGUCUGAAGUGAAAUGCUGGGGCUUAACCACGGAACUGCAUUGGAAACUGUGCAGCUAGAGUGCAGGAGAGGUAGGUGGAAUUCUUGGUGUAGCGGUGAAAUGCGUAGAGAUUAGGAGGAACACCAGUGGCGAAGGCGGCUUACUGGACUGUAACUGACGUUGAGGCUCGAAAGCGUGGGGAGCAAACAGGAUUAGAUACCCCUGUAGUC